rnacentral:ncRNA from 1 species
AAUUUAAAUUUAAGGACAGAGGUUAGCACUGCCCUUGACAAGGAUAGAAGCAAAGUACUAAUGCUGAGAGGUAGAAUGAGGAUUUUCU